rnacentral:rRNA from 1 species
AACGAACGCUGGCGGCAUGCCUAACACAUGCAAGUCGAACGAGACCUUCGGGUCUAGUGGCGCACGGGUGCGUAACGCGUGGGAACCUGCCCUUAGGUUCGGAAUAACUCCCCGAAAGGGGUGCUAAUACCGGAUAAUGUCUUCGGACCAAAGAUUUAUCGCCUUUGGAUGGGCCCGCGUUGGAUUAGCUAGUUGGUAGGGUAAAAGCCUACCAAGGCGACGAUCCAUAGCUGGUCUGAGAGGAUGAUCAGCCACACUGGGACUGAGACACGGCCCAGACUCCUACGGGAGGAAGCAGUGGGGAAUAUUGGAAAAUGGGGGAAAGGCUGAUCCAGCAAUGCCGCGUGAGUGAUGAAGGCCUUAGGGAUGUAAAGCUCUUUUACACGGGAUGAUAAUGACAGUACCGGGAGAAUAAGCACCGGCUAACUCCGUG